rnacentral:rRNA from 1 species
ACGAUCUACGGAUGAAAGCGGGGGAUCUUCGGACCUCGCGCUAUAGGGGCGGCCGAUGGCGGAUUAGCUAGUUGGWGAGGUAAAGGCUCACCARGGCGACKAUCCGUAGCUGGUCUGAGAGGACGACCAGCCACACUGGGACUGAGACACGGCCCAGACUCCUACGGGAGGCAGCAGUGGGGAAUUUUGGACAAUGGGGGAAACCCUGAUCCAGCAAUGCCGCGUGUGUGAAGAAGGCCUUCGGGUUGUAAAGCACUUUUGUCCGGAAA